AGAGUUUGAUCUGGCUCAGAUUGAACGCUGGCGGCAGGCCUAACACAUGCAAGUCGAGCGGUAGCACAGAAGAGCUUGCUCUUUGGGUGACGAGCGGCGGACGGGUGAGUAAUGUCUGGGAAACUGCCUGAUGGAGGGGGAUAACUACUGGAAACGGUAGCUAAUACCGCAUAACCUCGCAAGAGCAAAGAGGGGGACCUUCGGGCCUCUCGCCAUCAGAUGUGCCCAGAUGGGAUUAGCUAGUAGGUGAGGUAAUGGCUCACCUAGGCGACGAUCCCUAGCUGGUCUGAGAGGAUGACCAGCCACACUGGAACUGAGACACGGUCCAGACUCCUACGGGAGGCAGCAGUGGGGAAUAUUGCACAAUGGGCGCAAGCCUGAUGCAGCCAUGCCGCGUGUGUGAAGAAGGCCUUCGGGUUGUAAAGCACUUUCAGCGGGGAGGAAGGCGGUAAGGUUAAUACCCUUAUCGAUUGACGUUACCCGCAGAAGAAGCACCGGCUAACUCCGUGCCAGCAGCCGCGGUAAUACGGAGGGUGCAAGCGUUAAUCGGAAUGACUGGGCGUAAAGCGCACGCAGGCGGUUUGUUAAGUUGGAUGUGAAAUCCCCGGGCUUAACCUGGGAACUGCAUUCAAAACUGACAGGCUAGAGUCUUGUAGAGGGGGGUAGAAUUCCAGGUGUAGCGGUGAAAUGCGUAGAGAUCUGGAGGAAUACCGGUGGCGAAGGCGGCCCCCUGGACAAAGACUGACGCUCAGGUGCGAAAGCGUGGGGAGCAAACAGGAUUAGAUACCCUGGUAGUCCACGCUGUAAACGAUGUCGAUUUGGAGGUUGUGCCCUUGAGGCGUGGCUUCCGGAGCUAACGCGUUAAAUCGACCGCCUGGGGAGUACGGCCGCAAGGUUAAAACUCAAAUGAAUUGACGGGGGCCCGCACAAGCGGUGGAGCAUGUGGUUUAAUUCGAUGCAACGCGAAGAACCUUACCUGCUCUUGACAUCCAGAGAAUUUGUCAGAGAUGCUUUUGUUGCCUUCGGGAACUCUGAGAUAUGUGCCUGCAUGGCUGUCCUCAGCUCGUGUUUGUGAAAAUGUUGGGUUAAGUCCCCCGCAUGAGCGCAACCCUUUUUCCUUUGUUGCCCGCU
rnacentral:rRNA from 1 species